GUUAGAUUACGGUUGAAGAUGCUGGACUCUGGGAGGUUAAAGGACUUGUCCGUGGUCACCAGGUGUGGUAGACUGAACAGUGGACCCCCGGAGCCUGUGAAUACGUUACCUUGAAUGGUCAUAGACUUUGCAGACAUGAGAAUUAGCCAACAGUGUCAUUAUACCAAUGAAAUAUGGCGGUGUGCCUGGUGCUUGGCCCAUGAAAGGGAAGAAGGGCUGGAAAUGGAGUUAAUAAUUGAUCCUGCCUGUGUGAAGUCCAAUACUUUGGCCACCUGAUGCAAAGAACCGACUCAUUAGAAAAGACCGUGAUGCUGGGAAAGAUUGAGGCAGGAGGAGAAGGGGACGACAGAAGAUGAGAUGGUUGGAUGGCAUCACCAACUUGAUGGACAUGAGUUUGAGCAAGCUCUGGGAGUUGGUGAUGGACGAGGGAGGCCUGGUGUGCUGCGGUCCAUAGGGUCACAAAGAGUUGGACAUGCCUGAGUGACUGAACUGGACUGAAUUGAUGUGAAGAAGUCUGCAUAAGAUCCCAAGAGAAGGGUGUUUGGGAAGCUUCCAAACUGCAGAAAACAUCCAUGAAUGGGGCUGGGGAAGGUGACGCAAUCUAACUUCAUGGGGACAGAAGUUUCUGCUCUUGGGACCUACCCACACCUCACCCCAAGUGUUUCUUCAUCUGGCUGUCUACUUUUUUGAAAAAAAAAAAAAAAAAAUCACAUCCUUUACUAAACAGAAGCAAUCCAGCAGUUCAAACUGCCAAGGUUCAAAUCCUGGCUUUUCUGCAUACUAGCUGUGUGACCAUGGGCCAUUUAUUCAAAUUCAUUAGCUUUACCUCUCUUAAAAUGAGGAAUCUAAGGAGGUAUUUGGAGGGGAUGGACAAUGAGUAAUGGAGCCAGAAAGAAUGUCUACUCCACUUCUCACAGAGAUCCAGUCUGUUCCAGCUUUGAGGGCUGUGGGACUGUGGUUUCUGGGCAGGUUUGGUGAAGCCAAGCAGGACUGUGGACCUGGGGCAGCUUGCUUGUUCACAGCUGGGUCCAGAGGUGCAGGGGAGGUCAGGUGGGCAGCGGGAGGACAAGUGAUGUGCAUGGUGUGUGCCCGUGUGUGUGUGUGAGUGUGUGUGUGUGAGUGUGUGUGUGUGUGAGUGUG
ensembl:lncRNA